rnacentral:rRNA from 1 species
UACGCAGGGGGCUAGCGUUGCUCGGAAUCACUGGGCGUAAAGCGCACGUAGGCGGAUUGUUAAGUCAGGGGUGAAAUCCUGGAGCUCAACUCCAGAACUGCCUUUGAUACUGGCGAUCUUGAGUCCGGGAGAGGUGAGUGGAACUGCGAGUGUAGAGGUGAAAUUCGUAGAUAUUCGCAAGAACACCAGUGGCGAAGGCGGCUCACUGGCCCGGUACUGACGCUGAGGUGCGAAAGCGUGGGGAGCAAACAGG